CGUAGGCACCUCCUUGCUGUGACCGCUCCUCCCCCAGACCGCCAACGAGGAUGCGCGGGCGUCGUUAGGCGGGACGCGCCAGUUGCUGGGAGGCCGGCAGAGGAGGCUCCUGGGGAAGGAAGUCACGUGACCGAACGCUGCGCUUCCGGGCGAGUCCCCGCCCUGGAGGGACAGCCUCCUUCAGGUUUUGGGACGAACUUGCUCCUUAAAACGCCUCUGGCAAAAAUCUGGGGAACAGUGGCAGAAAGUUUAGUUGGAAGAAAUAGGGCGAAGGCACACUUCCGUUCAGUUUAGAGAAACGGAAGCCAGGAAAGGAACGAGGGCAACUUUAGUGAUAAAAUCCAUUUCACUGCUUGUUUCCAUCGCUUGGUAACUUGGAAAUUGCUCCCACAUACAUCUUUUCAGGUGCUAGAGACCACUUCCUGAGAGCUGGCGUUUGGGAUGGGCGUGGAAAGAUGGAAGGAUGCAGACCUGGAGUAAGAGGGCCCGACUCUCACUGCUUCCCUGUGAUUCCUUGUGGUCCAUGACAUCCUGGUGAGGAGUGAAGAUGAGAUCUAGCACCUGGUGGGGGCUCCUCAGGAAUGACCUAAGUCAUACAAAGCCCUUGCUGUUUGUUUUGAGGAAAAGAGACUUCAGCCCCAGUAACACCCAAGACAGGUGUCAAGAUCUUAAUUUUGUUUUAAGGGAAUCAUCAAGAAAAAUCCACUAAGUAGAAGUCUUGCUAAUUAUAAACAGCCAAUCUUCCCCCGUGUCAUGUACCAGCAAGGACUCUUCAGAAUGGCUGGCGAGGAUGAGCGUAUGCUGACGCGUUCCUUGUUCCCUCAAAGCAGUGCACAGCCAAGCUUGAAAAAUCUUUAGAGACGAGAAGUCUUCAGUCCGUACUUCCCCAUUUAGCUUGGCAUGGUGUACUACAAUAAAGUGCUUAUUUUUCAA